GGUUCUGGGCCUCUGACCUGAAACGCAAGCGAGGCGAAGAGGAAACCAAACACGAGGCGCACAUAUGGGAUACAUACAUGCUGCCUAUCAUCUGAAGCCAGAAAGGAUACUCCGAUUGAUCAAUCAUGGAAAUCUUUCCAAUGGAAUGAGCUUUCCAAAGCGGGUUUGCCCACUCUUGCUAACUGCAUAGCCCACCAAAGGGUCUGUGAUGGCAUCCCAGGCCCGGCCAAGGA